GCACUGGCAACUCAUCCUGACUCUGCUGUGUGGUGCGGGGGAAGGCUUAUCGGUGCUAGAGAAAAGACGGAGGAAAUCCAGACAGCGCAUACUUUCUCUAGUGUUCUGUCUCUACACCUCUGCUACACAU